GAAAGCGUGGGGAGCGAACAGGAUUAGAUACCCUGGUAGUCCACGCCGUAAACGUUGGGCGCUAGAUGUAGGGACCUUUCCACGGUUUCUGUGUCGUAGCUAACGCAUUAAGCGCCCCGCCUGGGGAGUACGGCCGCAAGGCUAAAACUCAAAGGAAUUGACGGGGGCCCGCACAAGCGGCGGAGCAUGCGGAUUAAUUCGAUGCAACGCGAAGAACCUUACCAAGGCUUGACAUACACCGGAAACGGCCAGAGAUGGUUGCCCCCUUGUGGUCGGUGUACAGGUGGUGCAUGGUUGUCGUCAGCUCGUGUCGUGAGAUGUUGGGUUAAGUCCCGCAACGAGCGCAACCCUCGUUCUAUGUUGCCAGCGCGUUAUGGCGGGGACUCAUAGGAGACUGCCGGGGUCAACUCGGAGGAAGGUGGGGAUGACGUCAAAUCAUCAUGCCCCUUAUGUCUUGGGCUUCACGCAUGCUACAAUGGCCGGUACAAAGGGCUGCGAUACCGUAAGGUGGAGCGAAUCCCAAAAAGCCGGUCUCAGUUCGGAUUGAGGUCUGCAACUCGACCUCAUGAAGUCGGAGUCGCUAGUAAUCGCAGAUCAGCAACGCUGCGGUGAAUACGUUCCCGGGCCUUGUACACACCGC
rnacentral:rRNA from 1 species